GACGGAGGGUGCUAGCGUUGUUCGGAAUUACUGGGCGUAAAGGCUCGUAGGUGGCCAACUAAGUCAGACGUGAAAUCCCUCGGCUUAACCGGGGAACUGCGUCUGAUACUGGAUGGCUUGAGUUCGGGAGAGGGAUGCGGAAUUCCAGGUGUAGCGGUGAAAUGCGUAGAUAUCUGGAGGAACACCGGUGGCGAAGGCGGCAUCCUGGACCGACACUGACACUGAGGAGCGAAAGCCAGGGGAGCAAACGGG
rnacentral:rRNA from 1 species